GACGAACGCUGGCGGCGUGCUUAACACAUGCGAGUCGAACGAUGAAGCCGGAGCUUGCUCUGGUGAAUUAGUGGCGAACGGGUGAGUAACACGUGAGUAACUUGCCCUUGACUCUGGAAUAACUGCGGGAAACUGUAGCUAAUACCGGAGACGACCCUAGGAGGCAUCUCCUGGGGGUGGGAAGAAUUUCGGUCAAGGAUGGACUCGCGGCCUAUCAGCUAGCUGGUGAGGUAAAGGCGCACCAAGGCGACGACGGGUAGCCAGCCUGAGAGGGUGACCGGCCACACUGGGACUGAGAGACGGCCCAGACUCCUACGGGAGGCAGCAGUGGGGAAUAUUGCACAAUGGGCGCAAGCCUGAUGCAGCAACGCCGCGUGAGGGAUGACGGCCUUCGGGUUGUAAGCCUCUUUUAGCAGGGAAGAAGCGAAAGUGACGGUACCUGCAGAAAAAGCACCGGCUAACUACGUGCCAGCAGCCGCAGUAA
rnacentral:rRNA from 1 species